rnacentral:rRNA from 1 species
AGAGUUUGAUCAUGGCUCAGGACGAACGCUGGCGGCGUGCUUAACACGUGCAAGUGGAGCGACGAACCAGGGCUUGCCCUGGGGCAGAGCCGCGAACGGGUGAGUAACACGUGGGUAACGUACCCCGAUGACUGGGACAACCCGGGGAAACCCGGGCUAAUACCGGAUAUGCCCCCUCACAUCAGUGAGGUGUGUAAAGGAAGCUUCGGCCUCCGCAUCGGGAUCGGCCCGCGGCGCAUUAGCUUGUUGGUGAGGUAACGGCCCACCAAGGCGACGAUGCGUAGCUGGUCUGAGAGGAUGAUCAGCCACACUGGGACUGAGACACGGCCCAGACUCCUACGGGAGGCAGCAGCCAGGAAUCUUGGGCAAUGGGCGAAAGCCUGACCCAGCAACACCGUGUGGGUGAUGAAGGCCUUCGGGUCGUAAACUCCUUUUUCGGGGGAUGAAAUGGACAGUACCCCGGGAAUAAGGCUCGGCUAACUCUGUGCCAGCAGCCGCGGUAAGACAGAGGAGCCAAGCGUUGUCCGGACUGACUGGGCGUAAAGCGCACGCAGGCGGCUUGGCACGUGGGGUGUGAAAGCUCUUGGCUUAACUGAGAGAGGCCAUCCCAUACGGCUAAGCUCGAGCGGUGCAGAGGUCCGCGGAAUUGCCGGUGUAGUGGUGAAAUGCGUAGAGAUCGGCAGGAACACCCAGGGGGAAACCAGCGGACUGGGCAUCAGCUGACGCUCAGGUGCGACAGCGUGGGGAGCGAACCGGAUUAGAUACCCCCGUAGUCC